rnacentral:rRNA from 1 species
CACGUAGGGGGCAAGCGUUAUCCGGAAUUACUGGGUGUAAAGGGAGCGUAGACGGUAAUGUAAGUCUGGAGUGAAAGGCGGGGGCCCAACCCCCGGACUGCUCUGGAAACUAUGUUACUAGAGUGCAGGAGAGGUAAGCGGAAUUCCUAGUGUAGCGGCGAAAUGCGUAGAUAUUAGGAGGAACACCAGUGGCGAAGGCGGCUUACUGGACUGUAACUGACGUUGAGGCUCGAAAGCGUGGGGAGCAAACAGG